GACGAACGCUGGCGGCGUGCUUAACACAUGCAAGUCGAACGGAAAGGCCCUGCUCUUGUGGGGUGCUCGAGUGGCGAACGGGUGAGUAACACGCGAGUAACCUGCCCUUGACUUUGGGAUAACUUCAGGAAACUGGGGCUAAUACCGGAUAGGAGCUCCUGCUGCAUGGUGGGGGUUGGAAAGUUUCGGCGGUUGGGGAUGGACUCGCGGCUUAUCAGCUUGUUGGUGGGGUAGUGGCUUACCAAGGCUUGGACGGGUAGCCGGCCUGGAAGGGCGACCGGCCCCAUAGGACUUAGGAAGGGACCAGACUCCUACGGGAGGCAGCAGUGGGGAAUAUUGCACAAUGGGCGGAAGCCUGAUGCAGCAACGCCGCGUGCGGGAUGACGGCCUUCGGGUUAUAAACCGCUUUCGCCUGUGACGAAGCGUGAGUGACGGUAAUGGGUAAAGAAGCACCGGCUAACUACGUG
rnacentral:rRNA from 1 species